CCGACUGCUUAGAACCCUUCGAGCAACGAAAAAAUAACGAUCACACAAGAUGAACACCAACCAGCUGUUGUGUUUGUUAGUGGCAGCCGCAGUGCUUCUGGCAAGUGCUCCGGUAGCAAACGCCCAAUACUAUGGUAACAGAUAUGGAAACAACGGUAACUACGGCGGCUGGCCCGGAAACUACGGCGGCUGGCCCGGAAACUACGGCGGCUGGCCCGGAAACUAUGGCGGCUAUGACAAUAAUUAUGGCGGAUUGUUAGGUCAAAUCCUAGGAGGACAAUACAGACGGGGAUAUUAUUGAUAUGGCAAAUAAUAGUUGCGGCGAAACUGUGUUUAAAGAAAAGCGCAUGUACCAUAAUUGGACAAGUCUACAGCAACCGUUUACUUGUAAUUGACUGUCAUAUAUUAUUGAACAAAGCAAUACAUAAACUAAA